rnacentral:siRNA from 1 species
UGUUCGAUCAGCACUUAUGCU